AUGGCCAGGCACUGGUGUAGUGGGCAGCUUGGAUCCAAUAGUCUUGGAGUCCUAUUCUUUUCUCUACCUCUUCUGGCUGGGGAAUGUGAAGGACGCACAGCAGCAAUAUUGUUUGGUGAGGGUCGCAGAUCCACCUUCUACCACCCUUGUUUGAAGACCCUCCCAGGGUCCCCUUACACUGGGCCUGUUCCCCCCAGAGGCCAAGCAAAGAAUCAGAAACUGCAGGGAUCUGGAGAGGUGAUGGAAAAGUGAAAAGUAUAAUGCUUAUAGACAGAAGCAUAGAAGAAAAUAAUUAGCCACAAUGGUACCUCUUUGAGACUAACUGAAAGCUUAGUGACACCGUCUGCAUUCACCUCUCAGCCCUCAGAAACUGCUCUUACUUCAGAAGUUGCUUCUACCACAUGAAAUGCUGUAAAUCUGAUGUUUUAAUCUUCCCCCUUAGAAGACAGUGUUUGCUUAAUUACACUUGUGUUAUAUUAAAAUGUUAGCAUAUUUCCUUUCUUGUGUCUACUUUUUUUUAUCAGCAAAUAUAAAGACAUAUACUGUGGUUAGGGAUAUGAUUCCACACAAUAAAAGAAAUUUUGGAAAAAGUGGUAUGAUUGUAUUUUUUUGGAAGCUAUACAUUCGUAUGUUUUCUGUGUGAUUUUGGAGGUGGGAAGGAACCCACAAAUAUUGGCUAAAUUAAUAUUCUC
rnacentral:lncRNA from 1 species